rnacentral:rRNA from 1 species
GAUGAACGCUGGCGGCGUGCCUAAUACAUGCAAGUCGAGCGAACAGACGAGGAGCUUGCUCCUUUGACGUUAGCGGCGGACGGGUGAGUAACACGUGGAUAACCUACCUAUAAGACUGGGAUAACUUCGGGAAACCGGAGCUAAUACCGGAUAACAUGUUGAACCGCAUGGUUCAACAGCGAAAGACGGUCUUGCUGUCACUUAUAGAUGGAUCCGCGCCGCAUUAGCUAGUUGGUAAGGUAACGGCUUACCAAGGCAACGAUGCGUAGCCGACCUGAGAGGGUGAUCGGCCACACUGGAACUGAGACACGGUCCAGACUCCUACGGGAGGCAGCAGUAGGGAAUCUUCCGCAAUGGGUGAAAGCCUGACGGAGCAACGCCGCGUGAGUGAAGAAGGUCUUCGGAUCGUAAAACUCUGUUAUUAGGGAAGAACAAAUGUGUAAGUAACUAUGCACGUCUUGACGGUACCUAAUCAGAAAGCCACGGCUAACUACGUG